rnacentral:rRNA from 1 species
GCGUUCUGUAAGCCUGUGAAGGUGACCUGUGAGGGUUGCUGGAGGUAUCAGAAGUGCGAAUGCUGACAUAAGUAACGAUAAUGCGGGUGAAAAACCCGCACGCCGGAAGACCAAGGGUUCCUGUCCAACGUUAAUCGGGGCAGGGUGAGUCGACCCCUAAGGCGAGGCUGAAAAGCGUAGUCGAUGGGCAACGGGUUAAUAUUCCCGUACUGGUGGUAACUGCGAAGGGGGGACGGAGAAAGCUAAAUCAUCCGGGCGACGGUUGUCCCGGUUUAAGCGUGCAGGUGGACUGACCAGGCAAAUCCGGUCGGUUGUUAACACUGAGGCGUGACGACGAGCCACUACGGUGGUGAAGUGAUUGAUGCUCUGCUU